rnacentral:lncRNA from 1 species
ACGAAUCUGUGGUUGUCUUCGUCCAAACCCCGACCCAUCGUUUCGAAUAUCGGAUCAAAGCUCUGACCAAAAACCUAACCUUACUGGAAUCCUUAAAAAAUGGUCCCAGGUGGCCUCCUCACCUUCCCCUCCAUAACUCCAUGACCAACAACCUUCGAAUACAACCAGGCUUGGCCAAAAAUCGAAUUAAAAUAGCCUGAAACCCAGACCCCAUCCCAAGCCAACUAACUCUAACCCGAUUCCCUCUCCCCCCUCUCCAAUAAUGAUACACAGGUAUCAAGAGACCAAAGACCCUCUCAGAAAGGGUCGAAAAACUUUGAGACGUGACGAGCUCCAAAUUUUA